ensembl:lncRNA
CGAACACUUUUUAUCGUAUUUCUGAGAAGAACCUCUCCAGACUUUCAAACGGUAUGGGAGAAGCCUGGGCUUCCAAGGCUACGUAUAACUUAACUAAUAUCACACUCACUAACAUAUAAAACCCUGACAAACUUAUUACAGACGCACAAUUGAAAGCAUCCUGUCGGGCUAUAUCAACGCCUGGUACGUCAACUGCACUGCCCGCAACCGCAAGGCUCUCCAGAGGGUGGUGUGGUCUGUCCAACCCAUUACCGGGGCAAUCUACCCUCCCUCCAGGACAGCUACAGCACCCGAUGUCACAGGAAGGACAAAAAGAUCAAGGACAUCAACCACCUGAGCCACUGCCUGUUCACCCCACUAUCAUCCAGAAGGCAAGGUGUGCUGGAGUCAGAGCAGAUCCUCACCAGCUGCAACCUGUUCCAUAAUCAAGACCUCUACAAAUACUCAGCCCUGCCACGUCCAGAUCGUAAUCUCUGCUCAUUCCGCCUGCUCUGACUCUGCUCCCUGUCUCCAGUUCCACAUCUCAUCAUCUUGCUACUCUGUCCUGGAUUCCACACUCUAUUACUCCCUUGGAUUCCCCUCCGGAACUACCUACCCUGUCCCAACCCCUCUCGCUCCAGCCUCAGACUCCACACCUGGUUUCCUGCAACCUACCCGAACUUCCCCUGGCCUGCACUCCAUCGUCCCCCUGUGUUUCAAUAAAUACCUUGG